rnacentral:rRNA from 1 species
UACGAAGGGGGCUAGCGUUGUUCGGAAUUACUGGGCGUAAAGCGUGCGCAGGCGGCUUCUCAAGUCAGGGGUGAAAGCCCAGAGCUCAACUCUGGAAUUGCCUUUGAGACUGAGUGGCUUGAGUACGAGAGAGGUGAGUGGAAUUCCCAGUGUAGAGGUGAAAUUCGUAGAUAUCGGGAAGAACAUCGGUGGCGAAGGCGGCUCUCUGGGACGGUACUGACGCUGAGACGCGAAAGCGUGGGGAGCGAACAGG